rnacentral:lncRNA from 1 species
GAGCAAAUUAGUCUCAUUUUGGAAAAGACAGAACAUGCACAAAGGACCCCCCUGAAAGGUUUCCAGUGCUCUGUUCCCGGAUGCGUUGCAGUCAGUGUAAUUACCUGAUGUGGAAAAAGAGGCAUGGACGUGGCCCUGUGAAAGGACCAUCUCUUUUCAGCAUGGGGCAGGAGCCAAACUGUACCCUGGAACACCUACAGAUAUCAUUGGUUUGACCUGGACAAGAACUCAGAGGCGGGCACCGUGGACUAAACCACUCCAUGGGCUUGGCGUUACACAUCACCUGUCAACUUCCUUUAACUUGGCUAUAGCAAGAAAUGGAUCUUGUCAUGACAACGACGAUGAUAAUGGCUAUGAGAUCGAUGGUGAUGAUGAUGGUGAUGACAAUGACAUUUGGGGAAAACUCUUAGACUCUGGAUACAGUUUUUCAUAUUAUGAAAUUUUUAUUCACUUAAUAACUACCUUCCAUUCUCCUCAUUAUUUUUUUUCUCACAUGAGGAGGGACUGUGUGACAGUGGAGCCUUGAGAAAGAACUGCACGUGCUCAGUUCAUUAUUGUUGGCCCUGUUUUCAGCUUUGACUUCCUGCAAGUCAGAUGCCUGCUGCCUGUGAUAAACAGCCUGCUUGCUCUCUGAGAAAACUGUGAUGGUCGGUGAUGUCUGCAGAAAGAAAGACACAUUGUGUCCUGGGAUAAAUAUUAGCAAGGUUGCAG